GUUUAAGCUUCUUGUAAUUUAAUUAUGUGUGUUUUAUUUUAAUUAAGUAUUUUAUGUAUUUUAGGGGCAUCAUGGUCAUUUCACAAUAAACGAGAGAUCAAACGGCAAAACGGACAUCACUUUUGAACUCAGGACGGUCGAAAACUUUAAAAGAAAAAAUGGCAUUGUUCACAUGUACGGUACUAUUCACAUGUACGGGUACUGUCUACGUUACUAUUCACGACACUGUUCACAUAGACGGAUCGAUGAUGUGGCAUUGACCGAUGAUGUGGCAUUGAUUGAUGAGGUGUCAUGAUCCUGUUGGACUAAAAUUCUUAUGUACUGUUGAUGGUGACGUGGCAGCAUAUCAGUGGACCAAAAAUCUCGCGUACGGUACAUGCAUUACACAUGAUUAUUUUCAACCAAACCGCGUCACUGUUCACCCGCGUGGUCAAACCGCGUACUGUUGACUGAUGACGUGGCGCAAUCCUGAGAGUCCAAACUGUUUUAAUCUGAUGGCCACAAUUUACUCAAUGUAUCUAUAAAAAGGGGGCCUCCCCCCUAAUUUGAUAUCUCUGAAUCCAUUUUUGGGAUCCAUAUUCUGUAAUUCUUUCUCCAUCUUGUAUUUUCUACGUAUUUUA
rnacentral:lncRNA from 1 species